UACGUAGGGGGCAAGCGUUGUCCGGAAUCAUUGGGCGUAAAGAGCGCGUAGGCGGUCCGGUAAGUCCGCUGUGAAAGUCAAGGGCUCAACCCUUGAAUGCCGGUGGAUACUGUCGGGCUAGAGUCCGGAAGAGGCGAGUGGAAUUCCUGGUGUAGCGGUGAAAUGCGCAGAUAUCAGGAGGAACACCGGUGGCGAAGGCGGGUCUCUGGGCAGUAACUGACGCUGAGGAGCGAAAGCGUGGGGAGCGAGCAGG
rnacentral:rRNA from 1 species